rnacentral:tRNA from 1 species
GGGGAAGUGUCGGAACCGGUAGACGAGCGUGACUUAGGAUCACGUGCCGCAAGGCGUGGGGGUUCGAGUCCCCCCUUCCCCACCA